UUCGCUGCGCUGCCUAUCUGGGAUGGUACGAUUAAAUAAAUGAUAACAGGCUUAUCUCCCCCAAGAGUUCACAUUGACGGGGAGGUUUGCACCUCGAUGUCGGCUCAUCACAUCCUGGGGCUGUAGUAGGUCCCAAGGGUUGGGCUGUUCGCCCAUUAAAGUAGUACGUGAGCUGGGUUCAGAACAUCGUGAAACAGUUCGGUCCCUAUCCGUCGCAGGCGCAGGAAUUUUGAGAGGAUCUGUCCCUAGUACGAGAGGACCGGGAUGGACGAAUCACUGGUGUACCAGUUGUCUCGCCAGAGGCAUCGCUGGGUAGCUAUAUUCGGAACGGAUAAGAGCUGAAAGCAUCUAAGUGCGAAACCGACCUUAAGAUGAGAUUUCCCAUAGAGUUAAUCUGGUAAGACUCCUGAAAGAUGAUCAGGUUGAUAGGCCGGAAGUGGAAGCGUGGUGACACGUGGAGCGGAU
rnacentral:ncRNA from 1 species